ACGGGUGAGUAACGCGUAUCCAACCUGGCCCCAUACCACGGGAUAGCCCCGUCGAAAAGGCGGAUUAAUACCGUAUGCUGUCAUUAAGAUGCAUAUAUUGAUGACGAAAGGACUGGCGGUAUGGGAUGGGGAUGCGUCUGAUUAGCUUGUUGGCGGGGUAACGGCCCACCAAGGCGACGAUCAGUAGGGGUUCUGAGAGGAAGGGUCCCCCACAUUGGAACUGAGACACGGUCCAAACUCCUACGGGAGGCAGCAGUGAGGAAUAUUGGUCAAUGGGCGCAAGCCUGAACCAGCCAAGUAGCGUGAGGGAAGACUGCCCUACGGGUUGUAAACCUCUUUUGUUUGGGAAUAAAGUGCGGGACGCGUCCCGCAUUGCAUGUACCAUUUGAAUAAGGACCGGCUAAUUCCGUG
rnacentral:rRNA from 1 species